UACGAAGGGGGCUAGCGUUGCUCGGAAUUACUGGGCGUAAAGGGAGCGUAGGCGGAUAGUUUAGUCAGAGGUGAAAGCCCAGGGCUCAACCUUGGAAUUGCCUUUGAUACUGGCUAUCUUGAGUACGGAAGAGGUAUGUGGAACUCCGAGUGUAGAGGUGAAAUUCGUAGAUAUUCGGAAGAACACCAGUGGCGAAGGCGACAUACUGGUCCGUUACUGACGCUGAGGCUCGAAAGCGUGGGGAGCGAACAGG
rnacentral:rRNA from 1 species